GCCUGUAAGCUCCUAACAGGAGCAGCGGACUCAAAAUCCGCCGGGCUCCGGCCCUUGGGGUUCGACUCCCCCUCCCGGCACCA
rnacentral:tRNA from 1 species